UACGGAGGGGGCUAGCGUUGUUCGGAAUUACUGGGCGUAAAGCGCACGUAGGCGGAUUGGAAAGUUGGGGGUGAAAUCCCGGGGCUCAACCCCGGAACUGCCUUCAAAACUCCCAGUCUGGAGGUCGAGAGAGGUGAGUGGAAUUCCGAGUGUAGAGGUGAAAUUCGUAGAUAUUCGGAGGAACACCAGUGGCGAAGGCGGCUCACUGGCUCGAUACUGACGCUGAGGUGCGAAAGCGUGGGGAGCGAACAGG
rnacentral:rRNA from 1 species